GACGAACGCUGGCGGCGUGCCUAAUACAUGCAAGUAGAACGCUGAAGGAGGAGCUUGCUUCUCUGGAUGAGUUGCGAACGGGUGAGUAACGCGUAGGUAACCUGCCUGGUAGCGGGGGAUAACUAUUGGAAACGAUAGCUAAUACCGCAUAAGAGUAGAUGUUGCAUGACAUUUACUUAAAAGGUGCAAUUGCAUCACUACCAGAUGGACCUGCGUUGUAUUAGCUAGUUGGUGAUGUAACGGCUCAACAAGGCAACGAUACAUAGCCGACCUGAGAGGGUGAUCGGCCACACUGGGACUGAGACACGGCCCAGGCUUCUACGGGAGGCAGCAGUAGGGAAUCUUCGGCAAUGGACGGAAGUCUGGACGAGCAAAGGCGGGUGAGUGAAGAAGGUUUUCGGAUCGUAAAGCUCUGUUGUAAGAGAAGAACGAGUGUGAGGGUGGAAAGUUCACACUGUGACGGUAUCUUACCAGAAAGGGACGGCUAACUACGUG
rnacentral:rRNA from 1 species